AGUGGCGUACGGGUGGGAAACACGUGGAUUAUCUGCCUCUUAGUGGGGAAUAACCCUGGGAAACCGGGGCUAAUACCGCAUAAGCCUGGAAAGGGAAAGCGUCGUCCUCAAAAAACGACGCGCUGAGAGAGGAGUCCGCGGCCGAUUAGCUAGUUGGUGAGGUAACGGCCCACCAAGGCUUUGAUCGGUAGCCGGCCUGAGAGGGCACACGGCCACACUGGCACUGAAACACGGGCCAGACUCCUACGGGAGGCAGCAGUGGGGAAUCUUGCACAAUGGGGGAAACCCUGAUGCAGCGACGCCGCGUGAGCGAUGAAGCCCUUCGGGGUGUAAAGCUCUUUCGGCAGGAACGAUAAUGACGGUACCUGAAGAAGAAGCUGCGGCUAACUACGUGCCAGCAGCCGCGGUAAUACGUAGGCAGCAAGCGUUGUUCGGAGUUACUGGGCGUAAAGAGUGCGUAGGCGGCUCCCUAAGUUUGGUGUGAAAUCUCCCGGCUUAACCGGGAGGGUGCGCCGAA
rnacentral:rRNA from 1 species